rnacentral:pre_miRNA from 1 species
GCAUGAGUCACUUGGGAGUCUUGUUAAAAUGCAGAUUCUGAUUCAAGAUGUUUAGGUGAGCCUGAGAUUCUGCACUUCUAAUGAGCUUCCAGGUGAUGCUGAG